UUUUUUCUUUUUUUUUUUUGCUUUUUAGGGCCACACUCGAGACAUAUGGAGGUUCCCAGUACUCGAUAGUAAGAAAUUAAACCCCAAUCUAAAAAUGGGCAUGAAACAAGAUAUUUUACCAAAGAAGAUACAUGAAUGGUAAUAAGUACAUGAAAAUAUGCUCUAUGUUAUUAGUCAUUAGAGAAACACAAACUGAAAAUCACAAGAUACCACAUCUAUGAGAAAAGCUAAAUCACAACUGAUCAUAACAAGUGUUGACAAGUGUCAGAGUCUGAAUUGUGUACCCCAACUUCAUAGGUUGAAACGCUAGAACCUCUGGGUCUUUAAAGAGGUGAUUAAGUUAAAAUGAGGGGCCCAAAUCUAAUGACGGGGUGUCCUUAUAAGAGGAAAUUCAGAAAAAAAAACUACCAAGAAAAGACCACACACAGAGGUAACAAGAGAGCAGCCAUCUACAAGUCAAGGAGAAAGGCCUCAGCAGAAGGCAACCCUGCCAAAAUUUAAUCCUGCACUUUCACCCUCAAGAACUACAAGAAAACAAAUUGCUGCUGUUUAAACCAUGCAGUCUAUGAUAUUUGAUUAUGGCAGGCUAGCAAACUGAUACAGCAAGCAUGUGAAGAAACUGUUUUAACUCUCAUACUGCUCAUGGAAAUGCCAAAUGGUGUAACCACUUUGAAAAAUAGUAAUGAUGUCUUAAAAACCUUAAAAAUAUACCUACCAUAUGAUCCAGCCAUUCCACAACUGGGUAUUUACCACCUCCCUCAAAGAAAAAGCCCAAAGACUGUAUACAAAUGUUUAAGGCAUAUUUAUUUCUAGUAGUUCCCAACUAGAGUUUCUACAAUGAACAGAUGAACAGACAGACAAACUAGGGUUUCUUUAAUGGAAUACACACAACAGGGUGAAUCUGAAAAUAAUUAUGCUGAGUAAAGGAAAUUAAGCAGAAUGGAGCAUAUAGUGCAUAAUUUCAUUAACAUAUAAUUCUAGAAAAGGUAAACUAAUCUAUAGUGAAAGAGGAGAUCAGUGGUUACCUGGGGAUAGCAAGGGAUAACAAGAAAGGGUUAUAAAGGUGCACAAGGGCUUUGUAGUGAUAGACAGAUGUGCAUUGCAACGGUGGGAUAGAUAUUUCAAGACAUGAAAUUACAUACGUCAAAUGUGUGUUGUCUUCUGUAAGUCAAUUAUAUUUCCUUUUUUUUUUUUUUCCCCAGCUUUUUGCGAUUUUUCUUGGGCCGCUCCCUUGGCAUAUGGAGAUUCCCAGGCUAGGGGUCUAAUCGGAGCUGUAGCCACCAGCCUACACCAGAGCCACAGCAACGCGGGAUCUGAGCCGCAUCUUCUACCUAAACCACAGCUCACGGCAACGCUGGAUCGUUAACCCACUGAGCAAGGGCAGAGAUCAAACCCGCAACCUCAUGGUUCCUAGUCGGAUUCGUUAACCACUGCGCCAUGACGGGAACUCCAUCAAUUAUAUUUCAAUGAAACUGUUAAAAACUUACAUAUAUGUGUAUUAUACAUUUAACACUACAAAGGAAAAAUGGACACAAAAUCAUCCAUCAAUAAAGGUUUCUGGAGUUCCCACUGUGGCACAAUGGGAUUGAUGGUGUCUGCAGCAGCAGGGAUAUGGGUUCAAUCCCUGACCCAGCACAUUGCCACAGUUGUGGUGUAGGUCACAAUUGCAGCUCAGAUUCAAUCCAUGCCCGGGAACUCCAUAUGCCACAGAGUGGCCAAAAAAGAAAAAUAAAGUAAAAUAAAUAAAUGAAUAAGGGUUUCCAACAAAUUUCUUUCAGGCCUUGACAGAUGGAGUAAGUAAAAAAUUAAGAAUACAGGGAGUUCCCAUCGUGGUGCAGUGGAAACGAAUCUGACUAGGAACCAUGAAGUUGCAGGUUCAAUCCCUCGCCUCACUCAGGGGGUUAAGGAUCUGGCAUUGCUGUGGCUCUGGUGUAGGCCGGCAGCUGUAGCUCUGAUUAGACCCCUAGCUUGGGAACCCCCAUAUGCCGCAGAUGCGGCCCUAAAAAAAAGACAAAAGACCAAAAAACAAAACAAAACAACAACAACAACAACAAAAAAAAAACUAAUAAGAAUGCAGGAAAACAUUAAGUUGGAAAAUACAAAUGCAUAUUCACAAUGUAACUCUACAAGAAGAGAAUUUCUCCUAUUCAAGGAUUUACAAUGCUACACAAAGAGUGAAUGAACACAUUCGACCAGUAAAGAACAUCUUAACAAAUUAUAAAAAGAAAAAAAAAUUCAAAUAUUCUAAUCAUGAUACAAUAAAACUUAAAAUUCCUGACAACAACAAAGACACCCCAAAAAAAGCCACUAACCUAUCAGAAUUUAAAAUACUCUCUAUAUAAUUGAAUGUUAGGCAAAGGGGGAAAUCAAAGACACAAAAAUAGAUUAUCUAGAAAAUGGUAAGUAAAAUUAAAACCCACCAGGAGUUCCCAUCGUGGCACCACCGAAACAAAUCCGACUAGGAACCAUGAGGUUUCGGGUUCAAUUCUUGGCCUUGCUCAAGUGGGUUAAGGAUCCAGCAUUGCUGUGAGCUGUGGCGUAGGUUGCAGACUUGGCAUUGC
rnacentral:lncRNA from 1 species